rnacentral:rRNA from 1 species
GACGAACCGUGCGAACGUUGUUCGGAAUCACUGGGCUUAAAGGGCGCGUAGGCGGGCUAUCAAGUCCGGGGUGAAAUCCUCCAGCUUAACUGGAGAACUGCCUCGGAUACUGAUGGUCUCGAGGAGGAUAGGGGCACACGGAACUGUGGGUGGAGCGGUGAAAUGCGUUGAGAUCGGAAGGAACGCCCGUGGCGAAAGCGAGGUCCUGGACGCCUACUGACGCUGAGACGCGAAAGCCAGGGGAGCGAACGGG